UUGUGGAGGAGGACGCCGAAGGUGGGGCUAAUGACUGGGGUGAAGUCGUAACAAGGUAGCCGUACCGGAAGGUGCGGCUGGAUCACCUCCUAACAGGGAGACAACAAAAUGUUUAAUUUUAUAAUUUUGUCACCUUAGGUCGAUCGGUAUCUCACGUUCUUGAUUUAUUGAGAAUUUCAUUUCCUAAGUUUUUCUAGGUCACACCCAUUAUUUUUCCUGGGCCAUUAGCUCAGGUGGUUAGAGCGCACCCCUGAUAAGGGUGAGGUCCCUGGUUCAAGUCCAGGAUGACCCAUAUCUCUAUGUUGGGGGUAUAGCUCAGUUGGUAGAGCGCCUGCUUUGCAAGCAGGAUGUCAGCGGUUCGAGUCCGCUUACCUCCACUGAUUACCACCUCUUCCAUAAUCUAUAGAAAGGAAAUGUUUUGAGUUGUGAUCAUAUUCUGAACGAAUCUAGCUUCCUAAUGAAACCAUUAAGAUGCUGGACUCAUUGAAUUAAUUUCAUUGUUUUCAGAGAACCUUGACAACUGCAUAGAUUAUUUUUAAAGACAAUAAGCAUCUUUGAUGAUGCAGAUUUAUUAUUUGUGCGAAUGCAUUAAUAACAAUUCUAUUAAGCUGAUGCUUCAAUUUUGAAGUUAUUGGUCAAGCUACAA
rnacentral:misc_RNA from 1 species